rnacentral:rRNA from 1 species
GACGAACGCUGGCGGCGUGCCUAAUACAUGCAAGUCGAACGCUUCUUUUUCCACCGGAGCUUGCUCCACCGGAAAAAGAGAGUGGCAACGGUGAGUAACCGUGGGUACCUGCCCUCAGAAGGGGAUAACACUUGGAAACAGGUGCUAACCUAUAACAAUCAAACCGCAUGGUUUUGAUUUGAAAGGCGCUUUCGGGUGUCGCUGAUGGAGGACCCGCGGUGCAUUAUAGUUGGUGAGGUAACGGCUCACCAAGGCCACGAUGCAUACACCUGAGAGGGUGAUCGCCACAUUGGGACUGAGCACGACAACUUACGGGAGGCAGCAGGUG